GGUGUUUGCUUCGGCAGCACUAUAUACUAAAAUUGGAAUGAUACAGAGAAGAUUAGCAUGACCAAUAUAUAGGUUGGAACUUAAAAGCCAUGAACAGAAAGCACUCAUG